UACGGGGGGGUAAGCGUUGUUCGGAAUUACUGGGCGUAAAGGGCUCGUAGGCGGCCAACUAAGUCAUACGUGAAAUCCCUCAGCUUAACUGGGGAACUGCGUCUGAUACUGGAUGGCUUGAGUUUGGGAGAGGGACGCGGAAUUCCAGGUGUAGCGGUGAAAUGCGUAGAUAUCUGGAGGAACACCGGUGGCGAAGGCGGCAUCCUGGACCGGUAUUGACGCUGAGGCGCGAAAGCUAGGGGAGCAAACGGG
rnacentral:rRNA from 1 species